rnacentral:lncRNA from 1 species
AUGAACGGAGACAAAGCUAACAAUUACGAGGCCUCCUGGGCCGAUCAGUGGGAUUACAACAGCAACUCCUCCUACCCCGUCGUGGUCAAAGGCGGCGGAACCACCGCCAAGUGCAAGCAAAAGGUCGGCGAAGGCCUCGUCAAAACAAAGGCGGUGGCUUCCACCGGCGCUAAAAAGGUCAAGGAAGGGGCCUCCGCUGGGUUUCAAUGGAUCAAACAAAAGUGCCAGAAGAAAUAG